UUGGUGGGCGUGGCAGGGGAAGGAUACUGUAAGAUCUCCAGAAUAGAUGGGGCGGGGCCAGUCAGAGGUGGUAUUUGCCGGUUCUCCGAACUACUCAAAAUUUCCGCUUCAGGUUCUCCAGAAUUGGUCAGAACUUGUUGAAUGCCAUCUCUGGAACACACACAUUCUA